GACGAACGCUGGCGGCGUGCCUAAUACAUGCAAGUCGAACGCAGUGGGGACGGGUGAGUAACACGUGGGUAACCUCCCAUCAGAGGGGAUAACACUUGGAAACAGGUGCUAAACCGAUACUGAUUGAUGGACCCGCUGUGCAUUAGCUAGUGGGUGGGGUAACGGCUCACCAAGGCCACGAUGCAUAGCCGACCUGAGAGGGGGAUCGGCAACACGGGGACUGAGACACGGCCCGACCUCCAACGGGAGGAAGCAGUAGGGAAUCUUCGGAAAGGGACGAAAGUCUGACCGAGAAACGCCGCGUGAGUGAAGAAGGUUUUCGGAUCGAAAAACUCUGUUGUUAGAGAAGCGGUAUCUAACCAGAAAGCCACGGCUAACUACGUGCCAGCAGCCGCGGUAAUUC
rnacentral:rRNA from 1 species